rnacentral:rRNA from 1 species
AGCAAACAGGAUUAGAUACCCUGGUAGUCCACGCUGUAAACGAUGUCGAUUUGGAGUUUGUUGCCUAGAGUGAUGGGCUCCGAAGCUAACGCGAUAAAUCGACCGCUGGGGAGUACGGCCGCAAGGUUAAAACUCAAAUGAAUUGACGGGGGCCCGCACAAGCGGUGGAGCAUGUGGUUUAAUUCGAUGCAACGCGAAGAACCUUACCUGGUCUUGACAUCCAUAGAGUUCUGCAGAGAUGUGGGAGUGCCUUCGGGAACUAUGAGACAGGUGCUGCAUGGCUGUCGUCAGCUCGUGUUGUGAAAUGUUGGGUUAAGUCCCGCAACGAGCGCAACCCUUAUUCUUUGUUGCCAGCGAUUUGGUCGGGAACUCAAAGGAGACUGCCGUUGAUAAAGCGGAGGAAGGUGGGGACGACGUCAAGUCAUCAUGGCCCUUACGACCAGGGCUACACACGUGCUACAAUGGCGUAUACAAAGGGAAGCGAAGGUGCGAGCUGGAGCGGAUCUCAUAAAGUACGUCUAAGUUCGGAUUGGAGUCUGCAACUCGACCCCAUGAAGUCGGAAUCGCUAGUAAUCGUAGAUCAGAAUGCUACGGUGAAUACGUUCCCGGGCCUUGUACACACCGCCCGUCACACCAUGGGAGUGGGUUGCACCAGAAGUAGAUAGCUUAACCGCGAGGGGGGCGUUUACCACGGUGUGAUUCAUGACUGGGGUGAAGUCGUAACAAGGUAACCA